rnacentral:rRNA from 1 species
GGAUGCGAUCAUACCAGCACUAAAGCAUCGGAUCCCAUCAGAACUCCGAAGUUAAGCGUACUUGGGCGAGAGUAGUACUAGGAUGGGUGACCUCCUGGGAAGUCCUCGUGUUGCAUUCC